rnacentral:rRNA from 1 species
UACAGAGGUCUCAAGCGUUUGUUCGGAUUCAUUGGGCGUAAAGGGUGCGUAGGCGGCGCGGUAAGUCGGGUGUGAAAUCUCGGAGCUUAACUCCGAAACUGCAUUCGAUACUGCCGUGCUUGAGGACUGGAGAGGAGACUGGAAUUUACGGUGUAGCGGUGAAAUGCGCAGAUAUCAGAUGAAGACCGGUGGCGAAGGCGGGUCUC